GAUGAACGCUGGCGGCGUGCCUAAUACAUGCAAGUCGAACGAAACUUCUUUAUCACCGAGUGCUUGCACUCACCGAUAAAGAGUUGAGUGGCGAACGGGUGAGUAACACGUGGGCAACCUGCCCAAAAGAGGGGGAUAACACUUGGAAACAGGUGCUAAUACCGCAUAACCAUAGUUACCGCAUGGUAACUAUGUAAAAGGUGGCUAUACUACCGCUUUUGGAUGGGCCCGCGGCGCAUUAGCUAGUUGGUAGGGUAAAGGCUUACCAAGGCAAUGAUGCGUAGCCGAAUUGAGAGGUUGAUCGGCCACAUUGGGACUGAGACACGGCCCAAACUCCUACGGGAGGCAGCAGUAGGGAAUCUUCCACAAUGGGCGAAAGCCUGAUGGAGCAACGCCGCGUGGGUGAAGAAGGUCUUCGGAUCGUAAAACCCUGUUGUUAGAGAAGAAAGUGCGUGAGAGUAACUGUUCACGUUUCGACGGUAUCUAACCAGAGAGCCACUGCUAACUACGUG
rnacentral:rRNA from 1 species